ACUCCUACGGGAGGCAGCAGUGGGGAAUAUUGCACAAUGGGCGCAAGCCUGAUGCAGCCAUGCCGCGUGUAUGAAGAAGGCCUUCGGGUUGUAAAGUACUUUCAGCAGUGAGGAAGGUGGGUAUGUUAAUAGCAUACUCAUUUGACGUUAGCUGCAGAAGAAGCACCGGCUAACUCCGUGCCAGCAGCCGCGGUAAUACGGAGGGUGCGAGCGUUAAUCGGAAUUACUGGGCGUAAAGCGCAUGCAGGUGGUUUGUUAAGUCAGAUGUGAAAGCCCGGGGCUCAACCUCGGAAUUGCAUUUGAAACUGGCAAACUAGAGUACUGUAGAGGGGGGUAGAAUUUCAGGUGUAGCGGUGAAAUGCGUAGAGAUCUGAAGGAAUACCGGUGGCGAAGGCGGCCCCCUGGACAGAUACUGACACUCAGAUGCGAAAGCGUGGGGAGCAAACAGGAUUAGAUACCCUGGUAGGCU
rnacentral:rRNA from 1 species